AACAGCCUUCGGGGCAGGGUGAUAACGGUCAGCCGUUUAUUCCCGAUCGGUGGUAAAGCCCACGAGCCAAUUUACCAGGCACGAUCCGGUGAGAUUCCGGAGCCGACGGUACAGUCCGGAUGAAAGAAGGUAUCA
rnacentral:ncRNA from 2 species